rnacentral:tRNA from 1 species
GCAUCUGUGGUUCAGUGGUAGAAUUCUUGCCUUCCAUGCAGGAGACCCAGGUUCAAUUCCCAGACAAUGCA